UACAGAGGUCCCCAAGCGUUGUUCGGAUUCACUGGGCGUAAAGGGUGCGUAGGCGGUCGGGGUAAGUCUGAUGUGAAAAUCUCACAGCUUAACUGUGAAACUGCAUUGGAUACUAUUUCGGCUUGAGAGUUGGAGGGGGGGACUGGAAUUCUUGGUGUAGCAGUGAAAUGCGUAGAUAUCAAGAGGAACACCAGUGGCGAAGGCGAGUCCCCUGGACAACUUCUGACGCUGAGGCACGAAAGCUAGGGGGAGCAAAACGGGG
rnacentral:rRNA from 1 species